rnacentral:rRNA from 1 species
UACGGAGGGUGCAAGCGUUAUCCGGAUUUACUGGGUUUAAAGGGUGCGUAGGUGGGUUGGUAAGUCAGUGGUGAAAUACUUUCGCUUAACGAAGGAACUGCCAUUGAUACUAUCAAUCUUGAAUACAGUGGAGGUGGGCGGAAUGCGUCAUGUAGUGGUGAAAUACUUAGAUAUGACGCAGAACACCUAUUGCGAAGGCAGCUCGCUACACUGUUAUUGACACUGAGGCACGAAAGCGUGGGGAUCAAACAGG